GGCCUAUGGGACGUCUCAGAGCGUGCAGGCUGUGUUUAUUAAAUAAGUGUAAGCUUUUGGCGGGGAGCGGGGUUAAUUGGGAGCAGUUCAGGCCAAGGAAUCUCAAGGUUUGCUCUUAGACCACAUAACAAAAUCAUAAAAGAGACCCUUGGCCAAUGCUUAAUAUUUGAACUUGAGUGAAAAAGGUCCCGAGAGUUCCUGGCAAAGCCACUUUGCUUUUCCUGCGAAAAUAGGCAGGAGGAUUGAUGGAGCGUCACUGGGGGCUUGUCAGGCUUGGCUACUGAUGAAUUACAGAAGACUCAGCUCAGGGCGAGGAACGCAUGUGCCAAGCGUGAGCAGCCGGGCCUCCUUCUGUUUCAAGGACAGAUAAUAAAAUAAUAGCCCCCUCUCCCUCCACUUUCUUAUUUGAUCUUUAGGACAACCCGUGAGGCAGGCAGAAUGAGUAUAUUUUGCCUAUACCAUAAGUAAGGAAACUGAGGCUCCGAGAAGGUAAGUCACCGCCCACGGCCACACAGCUAAGGAAUUGACAGCUUCGUGGAGCCCGAUUAAGUGCUGGUGCCACCAACCAUGAAGACGCUACGUGAAUAGCUGACCUCAGCCUGGAAGGAAAGGGCCAUUGUGGUAUAUUGCAUGGCAAUAACAUUUCGAGUGGAAUCAAGUGCCCCAUCCCUUGGAUCUGGGCUGGUCAUGUGACUUGCUUUGACCGACAGAACACAGCAGAAGUGACAUUUCCAAGUAUAGGCUUCAAGAGUCCUUAUUCCUCCUCUAAUGCACUUAAAAUCCUGCCACUGCCACGUGUGCAAGCUUCGACCAGUCUGCUAGAGGCCGAGAGACCAGGUGGAGCAGAGACGAGCCAUCCCAGCUAAGGGCCUUCUAGGUCAGCCAGCCCCCGGCUGACCUGGUAGCUGACCACAGAUCCAGACUUGUAACUUGCAGAAUUGUGAACCAAAACAGUGACUUCAAAUUACAGGCAUUUCCUUUUGGCGUGGAUUGUCACACAGCCAAAGCUUCCUGAUACAUCACUAGGAGAGACAGUUGCAAAGGGCCGUCAUUGACCCGAUGUCUCUCAGACUUGGAGCAUGCACAGAGAUAGGACCUUACUCCUCCAUGGAGCCAGAGCCUUGAUACUUGCUGCCUCCUGGUCAGUCCUCUUGGGGACUUCCAAAGUUGGGACCACAGAUGCCUCUCGCACAGUGAACACCUGUAGCUGCUUCCCGUCUGCAGAAACCAUUUGAUAAACCACCAGACAGCAGACUAAUCUAGCACAGUGUGUAAGAUCAUGGGGUUUGGAGACAGACAGACAAGUCCAGGAUCAGCUCUGAUGCUCAACGCCCCCUCUCUCUCUCCUAUCCUCAUUUUCUUCACCUGCAAAAUGGGGAAAUCCUCAUAGGAUUGCUGUGAGGCAGAAAUUACCUAAUAAGAUGAGCUGCUGGCUACAGGCCCAGCACAGAGUAAACAUCAGCAUGUUAGGUCUCCUCAUUGCUGGGCCUCUCACUCAUUGCCGGCUCUUACAGCAGGCCACGGAGCAUCUUGACUGCUCUCUCGUAUUGACAAGGGGAGGACGUGACAUGCUCAUACUGUAACCAAAUGUUAGAAGAAGUAGAGAAAUGCGUAGCCCAGGCUUUCCCAACCUCAGCACUAGUGACAUUUGGGACUAGAUAAUUCUUGGUGGUGGUGGUGGUGCUGGGGGCUGUCCUUUGCAUUGUAGGAUGUUUAGCUCCAUCUACCAGGUGCCAGAAGCACCCUCAACCCCAGUUGUGACAGCCAAAAAUGUCUCCAGACAUUACCAAACGUCCCUCGGGGGACAAAAUUGUCUCCAGUUGAAAACCACUGACAUAGCUGCCCUCUGAUGCCCAAGAAACAGGGCAGGACUUGCUCCACCACGGAGGGUGGCAGAAGGUGGAGGGAGGCGGCUAAAAAUAACGGUUGCCCAAUCGAGGGUCAUAAAUCACUGAAAGGGAGCUCUCGCACCCCGAGAAUGCCAUCUGCUUCCAAGUCGGAGGUGGAGGUGCGAGCGAGCGAGUGCGGGCCUGGAGGGGAAGGCAGAGCAGGAGGAGAGACGGUAAGAGCGAGGAAGAAGGGGAUGAGGUUGGGAGGCAGGGGAUUUGGAAGGCCGAGACAAAAGAGAUUGUGUCUUGGGUUGGGUCCCCCAGAAGCAGACCCCGAGGGGCAGGCGUUCCUUCAUCCACCACCUUGGGGCCUCGAGCUUACGCGGUUUCAGCUCUGUUCCAGGAAGAAGCUCUGAGCGACAUCUGCCCUGGACCCAGUCUCUCUGAAACGGACCAGACCGGCCCAGACUGCAACCAGAAGACUGACGCGGGCACAGAUAGAGACUUGUCCUAAAGUAGCCUGCCCUCAUUGACAUUGUAAAUGCCCCUCUUCUGGGAGGGGUGAAGCAGCCGUUUUUAGAUCAUGCGAUGUAUGCAGAAGCCUGAUUUCAAACCACGCAUGUGCAAGCUUAUGCCUGCCUCUGCACGCGAUGAUGAGACUUCCCCUUUGAAUAUUCAUUCUCCACCCCAAAUAAUAAAGACCCCCACCUCCCCGUGCCCAGGGUCUGAGCUUUGUGAAAUUAUUCCCUGUGGUCUCCGUUUUUCUUUGCUGCAUGCCGCAAAUAAAAAUUCUACGUUGUGAAACAACUACUUCUGGUGCAGCUGGAUUUAGCUCCCAAGAAGGGACCGACGUUUGGUCCGGACACGGAAGUGGUAAGACCAUCACGGUAUGACACAUUUUCUAGGAUCCUAACUUUUUACAAACAAUGUCUCUUUUCCUCUUCUCUUCUCCUGUCCUCUGACUACACCUGAUGUCCACAUGAUGAACUUGUCAGCUUGCCCCAAAUAUACCACCUCCGUGCCUUUGCACAUGCUGUUCCCCCUCCCUCACCUCUUCCGCUCGGGCUCAGCUCCUACUCAUUCUAAGCGAGGAAACUCCACGGCUGAUUUCUCUAGACCCACACAAGGCAGCGUCAGGCCAGCCCCCAUGCCCUCUCACACAGAACAGAACUAGCUUUAUUGGAAUCUGCUGCUUUCUUGAUUUCUACGCCUCUGUUUUCCCCAGGCUUAACUCCAGGAGGGCAGGAACUGGAGAUUUCUUAGGCCACACAGAGCCUGCUAGUACAGUAGGUGCACACCCAAAGUGUGUGGAACGGACGAGUGAGCGAAUGAGACCGCGCCCCCAGGGUGUGGCUGGACGGCCUAGGGGCUAAGCACAUGUUAGCAAGGCCAAGGGAAGGGUUCAUUCCUACGUUACCUGGUUGGGGACCCUCGCUGCGGCAGCUAAAACCCCAG
ensembl:lncRNA